GAUGAAGAACGCAGCGAAAUGCGAUAAGUAAUGUGAAUUGCAGAAUUCAGUGAAUCAUCGAAUCUCUGAACGCACAUUGCGCCCCUUGGUAUUCCGAGGGGCAUGCCUGUUCGAGCGUCAUUAUAACCCCUCAAGCUCAGCUUGGUGUUGGGGCCUGCUGCACUGGCAGCCCUUAAAAUCAGUGGCGGCGCCAUCUGGCUCUAAGCGUAGUAAUUCUUCUCGCUAUGGAGUCCUGGUGGAUGCUUGCCAUCAACCCCCAAUUUUUCUAUGGUUGACCUCGGAUCAGGUAGGGAUACCCGCUGAACUUAAGCAUAUCAAUAAGCGGAGGA
rnacentral:misc_RNA from 1 species